UGAGGAAUAUUGGUCAAUGGGCGAGAGCCUGAACCAGCCAAGUAGCGUGCAGGAAGACGGCCCUAUGGGUUGUAAACCGCUUUUAUGCGGGGAUAAAGUGAGGGACGUGUCCUUCAUUGCAGGUACCGCAUGAAUAAGGACCGGCUAAUUCCGUGCCAGCAGCCGCGGUAAUACGGAAGGUCCGGGCGUUAUCCGGAUUUAUUGGGUUUAAAGGGAGCGUAGGCCGUGGAUUAAGCGUGUCGUGAAAUGCAGGUGCUCAACGUCUGCACUGCAGCGCGAACUGGUCCACUAGAGUGUGCACAACGCAGGCGGAAUUCGUCGUGUAGCGGUGAAAUGCUUAGAUAUGACGAAGAACUCCGAUUGCGAAGGCAGCUUGCGGGAGCACAACUGACGCUGAAGCUCGAAAGUGCGGGUAUCGAACAGGAUUAGAUACCCUGGUAGUCCGCACGGUAAACGAUGGAUGCCCGUUGUCAGGCUGUUUCAGCCUGGUGACCAAGCGAAAGCAUUAAGCAUCCCACCUGGGGAGUACGCCGGCAACGGU
rnacentral:rRNA from 1 species